GACGAACCGUACAAACGUUAUUCGGAAUCACUGGGCUUAAAGGGUGCGUAGGCGGCGGCGCAAGUUGGGUGUGAAAUCCCUCGGCUCAACCGAGGAACUGCGCUCAAAACUGCGUUGCUUGAGGGAGAUAGAGGUGAGUGGAACUUAGGGUGGAGCGGUGAAAUGCGUUGAUAUCCUAAGGAACACCAGUGGCGAAAGCGACUCACUGGGUCUCUUCUGACGCUGAGGCACGAAAGCGUGGGGAGCAAACAGG
rnacentral:rRNA from 1 species